AUGUAUUCAUUUGUGAUGCUGUCCUUGAUAUGAUCCUGUUAUUGUCACAUGCUACACAUGUACAUAUAUGUGCCCAUGCAUCUAUCAAUCCAAUGUUAUCAUGAUUUGUUAUCAGGGAUAUUAUACUUUAGUAAUCCACAAUGACCUGGUGAUGUAACAGUCUAAUAAUGACAUUGUCUUCCAUAUUCCUACAGAUACCUUGUAACUGGAGAUUCCUUCAAAACGAUUGCCUACAGUUACCGUGUAGGGCACUGCAAGGUUGGGUGACCAGGGUCAUCUGGGACUGCCUCCUGGAGGAAUUCAGGUGUGUGAAGGCUACCUGUGUCCUGCGUAACUUCAUGAGGAUGGACACGAGGACCAGGAGGGGAUCUGCAGCUCGCCGCCGUGUCCCAGAGGAGGAGUCUGCUGCUCUGCAGGAUGUUUCAAGGAUGGAAUCCAACAACGCAGCAAGAGAGGCAAUCCAUGUGCAGGAGAUCUUCACCUCCUACUUCUUCAAAGAGGGUGCUGUUCCCUGGCAACACCAUAGACUACACUAUGCACAACCAAAGGCUCUUUUAAGAGGGUGCUGUUCCCUGGCAACACCAUAGACUACACUAUGCACAACCAAAGGCUCUUUUAAGAGGGUGCUGUUCCCUGGCAACACCAUAGACUACACUAUGCACAACCAAAGGCUCUUCAAAGAGGUUGCUGUUCCCUAGCAACACCAUAGACUACACUAUGCACAACCAAAGGCUCUUUUAAGAGGGUGCUGUUCCCUAGCAACACCAUAGACUACAUUAUGCACAACCAAAGGCUCUUUUAAGAGCUAUUCACAUUGCAAUAAGAGUAUUCUUCCAUUUACUUAGCUAUGUCAACUGCAGUUAUUCAAUUCACAGUUUCUCUCCCUUUGAUUUCUACUUCUCAGGUGAGGGUGCUGUUUAGGUGAGGGUGUGAUGUCUGUGCAAAAACAAAACAGGCUAUUUUAAAUCACUAAUAUUGAAGAAAUGUAGAACAAUUAGACACCCUAUAACCCACACCUACACACUCAUGUAUCAAUCUGAUUGAUGGAUUGUGUUGUGCAGUAAGCAGGCUCAGGUGUAUAACUGUGGCUCCUUCCACCUUCAAAGAAUAGGCAAGAGGGCCAACCAUGGAGAAUAGUAAGACACUUCAUUAUUUCUAUAACUACGCUAUAUUGUUUGUCCUUGUGUGUCCGUUCAUGUUUUUCAGCAUAAAGUACUCUGCAGCCACUAAGUGUGGUGUGGACACCAGGUGAGGCCACACACAGAUUCCUGUUGAACACUGUGGCUUUAACUACCUUAUUUUCUCAAUAACAGUCUCUCUCCUUCACUUCAUCCCUCUCUCCCCUUCUCCCUAAAUCCUCUAGGUUAUAUCAGCUGUGUCGGUGAACCCCUCCUGCAUCUGAACUGGCUACAUAGAGGGCACAGCAUGAUCAGAGAUAUGUUUUGAUGUGAGAGGAUGCCAACCCCCAGUCCCAUCAUCGCCACCUCACCUGCUUUUAAGAUAACCUUUGGGCCGACUAGAGACACUAUUAUGUAAUUGUGAUGAACUGAGAGAAUAUUUAUGUAGCACUGUGAUUCAUUAAUCAUGUGCUGCCUUCCCUGCUCCUAUGUGCUUACCUCUUUCUCCACCUCUUUCUUCCUCUGUUUUUAUAAUGCACAACAGAUGUGCAUUGAAGUACAGAUUGAACUUGUAUUUAUAACACUUGGAUAAUGAGCUUUUCAAUAAAGUGUUUCACAUUCUCUA